rnacentral:rRNA from 1 species
UGGGGAAUUUUCCGCAAUGGGCGAAAGCCUGACGGAGUGACGCCGCGUGUGGGAUGAAGGCCUUCGGGUCGUAAACCACUGUCAGUGGGAAAGAUGGGUGUCGGCGUGAUAACCGCCGGCAUCUGACGGUACCUGCAGAGGAAGCCCCGGCUAACUCUGUGCCAGCAGCCGCGGUAAGACAGAGGGGGCAAGCGUUGCUCGGAAUUACUGGGCGUAAAGGGCGCGUAGGCGGGAUGGCAAGUCGGUCGUGAAAUCCCUCGGCUCAACUGAGGAGCGUCGAUCGAAACUGCCGUUCUUGAGGGUUGGAGAGGAGACUGGAAUUCCCGGUGUAGCGGUGAAAUGUGUAGAGAUCGGGAGGAACACCGGUGGCGAAGGCGGGUCUCUGGGCAACUCCUGACGCUGAGGCGCGAAAGCGUGGGGAGCAAACGGG